GCCAAGUGUUUGUGAAGAACAGCAAGUGACUGUGGUUGGACUUGCACACCCAUGUGUUUGGGCAUUCACACACAUUGUCAAGCUCUGCAAACAAGGCUGUACUGGCUCAAGUUGGUGUGUGAGCUAUGAAAGAAGCUAUCGCUGCAGUGGGAACUUGUUUCAAUGGAAGAAAAUGCUCAGAUGGUGAAGGCCAGUAGUGCCAGCGUUCAGAGGGAUUUCAUGGACCCCACUGUCAAUAACAGUCCUCUUUUCCAUCUUCUAAUUCCUGUGGAUCUGUCCUGUAGCCUUUCCAUGCUAUCCUCAGGCUCAUCUGUUUUCUGAAGAUGG
rnacentral:sRNA from 1 species